UGCUCUGGGAUAAUCACAUAUAUUAUGAUUA
rnacentral:piRNA from 1 species